rnacentral:rRNA from 1 species
AUGCAAGUCUGACGGAUAGCUACCCAUAGCUUUUAUAGCUAUAGGUUUGCUAUUAGUGGCAGACGGGUGAGUAAUGCAUAGGAAUCUACCUAGUAGUAUGGAAUAGCCAUUAGAAAUGAUGGGUAAUACUGUAUAAUCCCUGCGGGGGAAAGAUUUAUCGCUAUUAGAUGAGCCUAUGUUAGAUUAGUUAGUUGGUAAGGUAAUGGCUUACCAAGACUAUGAUCUAUAGCUGGUCUGAGAGGACGAUCAGCCACACUGGAACUGAGAUACGGUCCAGACUCCUACGGGAGGCAGCAGUGGGGAAUAUUGGACAAUGGGCGAAAGCCUGAUCCAGCUAUGCCGCGUGAGUGAAGAAGGCCUUCGGGUUGUAAAGCUCUUUCAAUAGGGAAGAUAAUGACGGUACCUAUAGAAGAAGUCCCG